rnacentral:rRNA from 1 species
CGCUGCAGAGUUUGAUCCUGGCUCAGAUUGAACGCUGGCGGCAUGCUUUACACAUGCAAGUCGAACGGUAACAGGCCUUCGGGUGCUGACGAGUGGCGAACGGGUGAGUAAUGCAUCGGAACGUACCCGGUCGUGGGGGAUAACGCAGCGAAAGCUGUGCUAAUACCGCAUACGAUCUGAGGAUGAAAGCGGGGGACCUUCGGGCCUCGCGCGAUCGGAGCGGCCGACGUCGGAUUAGCUAGUUGGUGGGGUAAAGGCCUACCAAGGCGACGAUCCGUAGCUGGUCUGAGAGGACGACCAGCCACACUGGGACUGAGACACGGCCCAGGCUCCUACGGGAGGCAGCAGUGGGGAAUUUUGGACAAUGGGCGCAAGCUGUAUCCAGCAAUGCCGCGUGCGGGAAGAAGGCCUUCGGGUUGUAAACCGCUUUUGGCAGGAACGAAACGGUGUCCGCUAAUACCGGGCGCUAAUGACGGUACCUGCAGAAUAAGCACCGGCUAACUACGUGCCAGCAGCCGCGGUAAUACGUAGGGUGCGAGCGUUAAUCGGAAUUACUGGGCGUAAAGCGUGCGCAGGCGGUUGUGUAAGACAGGCGUGAAAUCCCCGGGCUCAACCUGGGGAAUGGCGCUUGUGACUGCACGGCUGGAGUGCGGCAGAGGGGGAUGGAAUUCCGCGUGUAGCAGUGAAAUGCGUAGAUAUGCGGAGGAACACCGAUGGCGAAGGCAAUCCCCUGGGCCUGCACUGACGCUCAUGCACGGAAGCGUGGGGAGCAAACAGGAUUAGAUACCCUGGA